rnacentral:sRNA from 1 species
CAACGCACGGUGGUGAGUGACUGUCCGGGAUGGCAUGAGUGUCUACGACUCUCUAGACAAGGCCCUGAAGGUGCGGGGUCUAAAUCAGGACUGCUGUGUGGUCUACCGACUCAUCAAGGGACGAAAGACGGUCACUGCCUGGGACACAGCCAUUGCUCCCCUGGAUGGCGAGGAGCUCAUUGUCGAGGUCCUUGAAGAUGUCCCGCUGACCAUGCACAAUUUUGUACGGAAGACCUUCUUCAGCCUGGCGUUCUGUGACUUCUGCCUUAAGUUUCUGUUCCAUGGCUUCCGUUGCCAAACCUGUGGCUACAAGUUCCACCAGCAUUGUUCCUCCAAGGUCCCCACAGUCUGUGUUGACAUGAGUACCAACCGCCAACAGUGAGCCCAGCCUGGGGUGGGUGGGGGGAUGGGGAGCACAGAGGCCCAGCCACAAGGCCCUUACAGACAGCUGACCCGUGUCCCCUUGCUUUAU